ACCUUCGUAGUGUAACGGUAGCACACUCGGCGCGGAUUCAAGAGGUCCAGGUUAGAGUCCCGGCGAGGGCA
rnacentral:tRNA from 1 species